UACGGAAGGUGCAAGCGUUAAUCGGAAUCACUGGGCGUAAAGCGCUCGUAGGUUGCUUUGUAAGUCAGGUGUGAAAUCCCACGGCUCAACCGUGGAAUUGCACUUGAUACUGCAUUGCUUGAGUUCGGGAGAGGGUAGUGGAAUUCCAGGUGUAGGAGUGAAAUCCGUAGAGAUCUGGAGGAACACCGGUGGCGAAGGCGACUACCUGGACCGAUACUGACACUGAGGAGCGAAAGCGUGGGGAGCAAACAGG
rnacentral:rRNA from 1 species